rnacentral:rRNA from 1 species
UACGUAGGGGGGCAAGCGUUUGUCCGGAAUCAUUGGGCGUAAAGAGCGUGUAGGCGGCCAGAUAAGUCCGCUGUGAAAUCUCGAGGCUCAACUUCGAGCUGUCGGUGGAAACUGUCUGGCUAGAGUCCGGAAGAGGAGAAUGGAAUUCCUGGUGUAGCGGUGAAAUGCGCAGAUAUCAGGAAGAACACCCGUGGCGAAGGCGGUUCUCUGGGACGGUACUGACGCUGAGACGCGAAAGCGUGGGGAGCGAACAGG